rnacentral:rRNA from 1 species
AUUGAACGCUAGCGGGAUGCCUUACACAUGCAAGUCGAACGGAGUGGCGAACGGGUGAGUAAUGUAUCGGAACGUGCCCAGUAGCGGGGGAUAACUACGCGAAAGCGUAGCUAAUACCACAUACUAUUGGAGCGGCCGAUAUCGGAUUAGCUAGUUGGUGGGGUAACGGCGAACCAAGGAGACGAUCCGUAGCUGGUUUGAGUGGACGACCAGCCACACUGGAACUGAGACACGGCCCAGACUCCUACGGGAGGCAGCAGGGGGGAAUUUUGGACAAUGGGGGAAAGCCUGAUCCAGCCAUGCCGCGUGUGCGAAGAAGGCCUUCGGGUUGUAAAGCACUUUUGGCAGGAAAGCGGUACCUGCAGAAGAAGCACCGGCUAACUACGUGCCAGCAGCCGCGGUAAUAC